rnacentral:rRNA from 1 species
UACGAAGGGGGCUAGCGUUGCUCGGAAUCACUGGGCGUAAAGGGUGCGUAGGCGGGUCUUUAAGUCAGGGGUGAAAUCCUGGAGCUCAACUCCAGAACUGCCUUUGAUACUGAGGAUCUUGAGUUCGGGAGAGGUGAGUGGAACUGCGAGUGUAGAGGUGAAAUUCGUAGAUAUUCGCAAGAACACCAGUGGCGAAGGCGGCUCACUGGCCCGAUACUGACGCUGAGGCGCGAAAGCGUGGGGAGCAACAGG